CAUUACAGUGCAGAAUGUCCUUCAAACCAUACAACAAUAUAGGUUGUUUAUAUUUACCCUCUAAUACGACCCAUAGGAGUGUUUCAUAAAUUAGUGCCCCUAGGGG